rnacentral:rRNA from 1 species
UACGUAGGGGGCAAGCGUUGUCCGGAAUCAUUGGGCGUAAAGCGCGUGUAGGCGGCUGGCUGAGUCCGCUCUGAAAGCCCGGGGCUCAACCCCGGGAGGCGGGUGGAUACUGGUCAGCUCGAGUCCGGAAGAGGAGUGUGGAAUUCCUGGUGUAGCGGUGAAAUGCGCAGAUAUCAGGAGGAACACCAAUGGCGAAGGCAGCACUCUGGGACGGUACUGACGCUGAGACGCGAAAGCGUGGGGAGCAAACAGG